AGGUAACAAGUGACAGGACAACAGGACAGCAGCCUCAGACUCCACCAGGGCAUGUUUAGUCUUGCAGGCCCAAAGGAUUUUCUUCAUGCCAAAACUUGCCCUGUGCCUCUUUACUAAAGCUGCAAGACUUUACCUGGAGGAGAGAGGCCUUGGAGCUUUUAUUGUGCCUUGCAAGCCCAGAUUACAUCGACCACAUUGACUGAUCACAGCAACUUGACUCAUGCAAAGACCAGCUGAACAUCAGAGGCUCUUUGGGACCCAUGAGACAGCAACACAGCCCCCUACACCAACUAAAGGUGGUGGCACACGAUACUGAUUUUGCUGCUUCAGUAAUAAAGUAUGUCUAAGCAUUAGGA